UUUUUUUUUCUCUUUGUUUCUUGGAAUCUACAAUGAGAGUUUAAAUGGAAGGAAGGUCGAAGUUCAGUAAGAGAAGCCUGGCCAGACAGAGCAGAAGAAAGAUGGACCAUGGAACCAGGAAGACCUGCUCAGGCUAUCACCUUUGCCUUCCACACAUUGUCUCCCUAAUCAAGUUCACUUCUCGUCUGCAGACUCAGGUUCCUCCGUAGCAGAAGGGAAUAAUAAAAUCUAUCUCAGGGCUCUUAUCAGAAUUUAAUGACAUGUGUAGGCAUCCAGCACAUGGUGUUGUAUAUACUCAAUGAAAAAUACUAUGAAAAUUGUCUGCAAAAUGACUCUUUUUCUUGGCCUUUAAUAUAGAGGAGACACCCAAAGGCUCCUUUGUAUAACGGGACUGAAACCAAGCUGGAUAACCCUGGAAGGUGAGAUGAACUCGCAGGAGUCUAGAGCUGCGGGACACAUGCUGCUUACAGCAAGGCACGAGACACUGGGAGUGAGGUUGUCACCUGGAAUGCAAUCAGGAGGGCCCCAAGUCCUCUCUAUGCUCUCCUAUCUUCACUGCAAUCUUCUCUCUCUACCCCCUACCCCCAACUAACCAAACCAUUGCUGGAAGAAGAGGAAGCCAUCACUGUACUGUAUGAUGCCGGCUGCCAGGGAAGCUUACAAAAGGCUCUGCUUACUGCAAACUUCCUGACAGCUCUCACACCAUCACUGUUGCAUGUGCAAACCCUUUUUAUGACUCCUUUAAACAGAGAGAAUGUUAAGAGGCUAGAGCAAGCAUGUGACUCCACUGUGAGUACCUUGGGCUUAUUUAUAUACUGGGAUGGGAAGAAGACUGAUUUUUCUUCAUUUUUACUUUACAGGCUGUGAUUGCUACAGUAUCCAUGCCCCUCUCUGAGACUGAGGCACAGAAUUAAUAAUUCACAAACAGUAUGGGGGAGAAAACACAUUAUCUGACACACAUCCAAAACCCAAAAACUAAAAGACAAAUGUGGGGGUAUGCAGUUAAAAGCAAAGAGCUCUAAUUGAAACCUGAGUCACACUUAUAACACCUUCUUCAAAUGAAGGAGCACAGUGUGGUCUCAGUUCUCUGCCCAUUGCAUCCACCCCAAUAAUACCCAGGAGGAUACAGUUUAAUACUGCCACAGGCAAAGUAGAAAAGGCAAGAGAAAAGAUUGUUGUUCUCUCUUUUCCUUUCUGCCUCUGUUAAACUCCAAGGAAAAGUGUUUCCAGUGGCAGGCAGUGAAUCAGACUGAAGAAAGGUUUUGUUUCACCUCUUUAGGUCAGGUUAAAUAAAACCUGUGUCAGAAGACAUCCAUGGGACAUCUGGGUGGCUCCGUGGUUGAGUCUGCCUUUCUCAGGUUGUGAUCCUGGGGUCCUGGGAUGGAGUCCCACAUCAGGCUUGCAGGGAGCCUGCUUCUCCCUCUGCCUGUGUCUCUGCCUCUCUGUGUGUUUCUCAUGAAUAAAUAAAUAAAAUCUUUUUCUUAAGAAAAAAGAAAGAAAAAACAAAAACAUCCUGGCAAUUUAUCUAUAGCUAAAGAUUGGCAGGGACACUGGGUGGCUCAGCAGCUGAGCAUCUGCUUUCAGCUCGGGGUAUGACCCCAGGGACCUGGGAUAGAGUUCUGAAUCAGGCUCCCUGCAGGGAGCCUGCAUCUCCCUCUGCCUAUGUCUCUGCCUCUCUCUGUGCCUCUCAUGAAUAAAUAAAUAAAAUCUUUUUAACAAAUAAAAUAAAAUAAAGAUUGGCAGAUCUAUCUCUAUGCACAGCCAGUCACCCCCCUUUCCCAUUGUUCCCCUCCUCUUGUGAAUGCCCCAAGAAAUACAUGGGCAAGAGCAGAAAGAUACUACACAGUUGUCUCAACGUUUUUUUCCAAUCAAUUCUCAUGCAAAAACAGACUCAUCAAGAAAUAUACACUAAACACAUCUAUAAUGUGCUAGGUCUCGCUGCUUCCUUCAUGCAUUUUCUGACAACACAGCCUCUUAUCUAUUUCGUCAUAAUGAGAUACAGUUAGUACCAAAUAAUUUAGUGUGUUGCAAUCUUGGUUAUAUGAUUCAGUGUAGUGGUUAAGAGCAUAGGGUCUGAGCACAGGCAAUAGUGUUAAGGACACCAUGAAGAUAGUGAAAGGCAAUGCAUGGAGUGGGAAAAAAUAUUUACAAACCAUUAUCUGGUUCGGGAUAAAUAUCCAGAAUAUAUAAAGAACCUCUACAACUCAAUAAAAAUGAAACAACCGUAUUUAAAAAUGAAAAAAGAAUUUAAAUAGACAUAUCUCCAAAGAGGAUUUACAAGUGGCCAAUAAGCACAUGAAAAGAUGCUCAACAUCACUAAUCACGAGGGAAACGCAAAUCAAAACCACAGUGAGAUACCAUUACAAUGGGUACCAGAAAAAAAUGUCGGCAAGAUGGUAGAGAAAUUGCAACCUUUGUACAGGGCCAGUGGAAGUUUGAAAUGGUGCAGCCACUAUGGAAAACAGUAUACAAUGUCUAAAAACAAACAAAACAAAGAAUUAACUCGAGUUGUAAUAAUUCUUCUCGCAUAUACCUAAAAUAAUUGAAAGCAGGAACUCAGAUACUUAAACAUCCAUGUUGUAUAUUUACACUUUACCACAAUAAAAAAUAUAUAGGAAUUUGGAAAAAAUAAAGAGCCUAACUUCUGGAGCCAGUUCCAUAUGUGCCACCCUAGGUACCCCAGAUUAGCCUUGGGCAAGUAAUUUAGCUUUCUGUUUUCUCAUCUGUAAAAUGGAAUAAGUAGAGUGCCUAAGUCAUAGGUUGCUGCAAAGUUCAUGGCAGAUGACAAAAAGAAAAACCUGGCACAUAAUAAAUGCACAAAACAUGUUAGCUAUUAUUAUUGCUACUUUGUAUGGAUGCUAAAAAACCCAAUGCUAUAGACAACAAAUAUUUCUUGCUUUUCUGCAUCCCCUUAGAGCAUUCUCUACAUGUUACUAAAUACUUAUUUACUCAUUUACAUCUUUAUAUACAAAGAGGAACCUUAUUGACUUAGUAUCAGUGAUUGUUUUCCAACACAGAAUAUAAAUUAAUAUUGAUCCAUUCAUAUUCUUCAAUAAGCCUCUUUGACCCAAAGAUAUACAUUUGUAGACGUCUGGGUAUUAUCUUGAAAAUAUAGGUAAUGCUGAGGUAUUAUCUUGUAAAGGACUUAAUUCACAUGGCUAUAUUCCAAGGCCAAGAGAAUCAUGAAGUCUUUCCCAUUACUGUUGUUAACCAACCUAUAGAACCAAUCACAGAGUACAAUGUAAUUCAGACAUCACCAUUUAUAAAUAGAUUCAAAGUAAGUCAAAUAGAUGGCAAAAUCUCUGAGACUCGAAAGCUGAUGCCUUCUUAGAUCUCUUCACAUCACUGAGGAAGGGAUGGAGGUGUGAAGGUCAUAUAGACCACCAAUAAUAAAUUCUGGCCCAGAUGACGUUGGGGAUCCAUAUUAAAUUUCAAAGCAAGUGUAUCUAAAGACGAUGUUGGUUUUGAGUUGACAGCAUGAGAAACAGGGCAUUUGCUAAUUCUCCCCUUUUAAAAAAAAUAAAAUAAAAAACCUCUACUCAAAAUCUGUGAUAAUAUAAUAACAGGUGAUUUCUGAUAUGUACAACAUUUUUACAAGCUUUUCCUAAAAUGAGUUUUUUAAAACCUUGCCUGAUGCUGGCUUCUAAAAUCAUCUUCAAUCUGAGUGAGAGCAAAUUCAUUUAACGGUUUAUUUCUCCAACAAUUUGAGUGACUAUAUCCCCUAGAUAUCUUUCUCGGAGCCCACACCCUAAAGCUUCAUAAUUCCAUUAAAUCACCACACAGCUGGGCAAUUCUUUCUUUGCUCACAUUAUAGUGGUCCCCAGGGAAUUUAUGUAAAUCUAUGGAAAUUCAUUUUAAAGUCUGUACUCCAAAAGGGAGGAUGCAUCCUCAUUAAGUAAACGAUUAUAACUACAAAUAAGCUAAAAGGAACAUGCUGGAGAGCUAAAUUAAACUUUUCAUCAGGAAAACUAAACCAUUCACUUUCAUAUAUGAGCUUUACCCAAAUGCUACCAAAAUCAUGAGACAAAAUAUUUUGAUGAAGUCCAAACAGAUACCAAGGAAAGUGUAGCUGAGCCACUAUGGCAGAACACAGCCUCCUUUCUGGUAUAACCACCUGAUGCCACCUUGGGCCAUGGUACAGGAAAAGCUUCACCCUUAUCAUUCACAAGUUCUCAGGAAAGACUUCUCACAUAAGGGUGAAAAGAAAUGUACUCCCAAAGUCUUUCAAAGGGCACCCAAGUCAAUUCUAAGAACCCCUAAAAAGACAGCUUAAAGGAGAAGAUAUUGUGUGUUAAAAAGAGGACACAAGCUUUGCAGUUAGACUUAUCUGCCUCCCACUCCUACAUCCUUCACCUACUAGCUGAAUAAAUCACCUAGACUUCAUAGCAUGGUUGGCACUCAAAUGCCUUCAUCUGAACAACAACGAAAAAUGAGGUCUGAGUAAAAUCUAAGCUCUAGAAAUGAGGAGCUAACUGGAAGGGAAAGGAGAGAAUUCCUCCACUUAAAAGUUAUAGGUCCUCAAACAACUAUGGUGUCUUCCCAUCUUGGUAGAUCUGCUCACCUCUCCUACUCCUGAGAAAGUAGGGCUAAAGCAAUUUAUGAGAACAUUGACUCAAUAUUGCCACAGCCCUUUCUUCUUAAGCCAUUCUAACAUUUAUUUUUUUCUCAUAUCUGAAAACUCCAUACUCUACACAAAUUACAUCUUGGUUCUGAAGUUAGAAUUAAAAGUGAAAAUAUCAAAUGAUCAAUUUUACCCAUGAAAAUCCCCCCUUAGGAAGGCUUAGCAUUGGAAUAGUCUCCCAGGAAGUCCAGCAUUGGUCAUUUCUUAUGCAUUAUUGGGACAGAUUGCUGAUUCUUCAGUGGAGCCCAAGUGAACCAGCUGCCUUGACUUUCAGAUUCAUGUCAUCUUAAAGAUAUCUGCAGAGACAUAGACAUUAGAUAUAGCUUCUGAUAGUAGAUUCAUAUUCCAAUUAACAUGAUUCUCACACUCCAUAGGAGAUAAAUGAAACUGAGACCAAGAGAUGAAAGACAGAUUCCCAUCUCCAUGCACACAUUGGGUGGAAUAACUGGUGGAAUGGCCUACACUUUUUAUAUAUUUGUUUUAGUAUGUCUUUAUUUUGCUAAGCAGUAUGACAACAUUUGCAUACAUUAAAUAUGCUUUAAUCAUCCAAGCAUGAUAUUAUGCCACAUUUUGUUUUGUUACUGAAAUGAAAUUGUAGUCAAUGGUAAACCCCACCAAUCAGGCCACAUA
rnacentral:lncRNA from 1 species